ensembl:rRNA 5S_rRNA 5S ribosomal RNA
GUCUAUGACCAUACUAUCUUGAACACGCCCAAUCUCAUCUGAUCUUGGAAGUUUAGCAGGGUCGGGCCUGGUUAAUACUUGGGAGAAUCCCUCUUUUCUACUCUGGCCCUCCAUCACU